AUUGAACGCUGGCGGCAUGCUUUACACAUGCAAGUCGAACGGUAACAGGGAGCUUGCUCCGCUGACGAGUGGCGAACGGGUGAGUAAUGCAUCGGAACGUACCCAGUCGUGGGGGAUAACGUAGCGAAAGUUACGCUAAUACCGCAUACGUCCUGAGGGAGAAAGCGGGGGACCGUAAGGCCUCGCGCGAUUGGAGCGGCCGAUGUCGGAUUAGCUAGUUGGUAGGGGUAAAGGCCUACCAAGGCGACGAUCCGUAGCGGGUCUGAGAGGAUGAUCCGCCACACUGGGACUGAGACACGGCCCAGACUCCUACGGAGGCAGCAGUGGGGAAUUUUGGACAAUGGGCGCGAAGCCUGAUCCAGCCAUGCCGCGUGCGGGAAGAAGGCCUCGGUUGUAA
rnacentral:rRNA from 1 species